GCCCUGAUAGCUCAGCAGGUAGAGCGCUUGUCUCGUAAACAAGAGGUCGCGAGUUCAAAUCUCGCUCAGGGCU
rnacentral:tRNA from 1 species